GAGGGUAUAGCCCAAGUGGUAGAGCACAUGCUUAGCAUGCAGGAGGUUCUGGGUUCAAGUCUCAGUAUCUCCU
rnacentral:tRNA from 1 species